rnacentral:rRNA from 1 species
GACGAACGCUGGCGGCGUGCCUAAUACAUGCAAGUAGAACGCACAGUUUAUACCGUAGCUUGCUACACCAUAGACUGUGAGUUGCGAACGGGUGAGUAACGCGUAGGUAACCUGCCUGGUAGCGGGGGAAAACUAUUGGAAACGAUAGCUAAUACCGCAUAAUAUUAAUUAUUGCAUGAUAAUUAAUUGAAAGGUGCAAUUGCAUCACUACCAGAUGGACCUGCGUUGUAUUAGCUAGUAGGUGAGGUAACAGCUCACCUAGGCGACGAUACAUAGCCGACCUGAGAGGGUGAUCGGCCACCCUGGGACUGGGACACGGCCCAGACUCCUGCGGGAGGCAGCAGUAGGGAAUCUUCGGCAAUGGACGGAAGUCUGUCCGAGCAACGCCGCGUGAGUGAAGAAGGUUUUCGGGUCGUAAAGCUCUAUUGUAAGAGAAGAACGGGUGUGAGAGUGGAAAGUUCACACUGUGACGGUAUCUUACCAGAAAGGGACGGCUAACUACGUG